rnacentral:lncRNA from 1 species
GGGACCCUGUGUGAGGAGGGACCCCGGGUGAGGAGGGACCCCGUGUGAGGAGGGGCCCCGUGUGAGGAGGGACCCCUGGUGAGGAGGGACCCUGUGCGAGGAGGGACCCUGUGCGAGGAGAGACCCCGGGUGACAGCCUGUGAGUGACGAUGACACCAUGUGACGGACAGCAGGCGGAUUCUGGCUUCUGGGGGAGAAUCACCCAGUUAGGGUGAGGGGAUUUCAGACCCGCCUCGGACAGCACAAGUUGCCCCCAAGACACAGAUGAGGACAGAGACCGGGCCAGAUGGGUGGCCAGCCAGGCUGGGCAGGUGUGAGUUUACCAGGGAAAGUGAGAUUGAGCCGUGCUGCUGUCAACUGAUUUGGAAGUUGUUUCCCUCCUUUUCUUUUUUCCUCCUUGGAAAAGAGAAACACCUGGGGUUCUUUUCUUUAAUAUUUUAAUUGAGGUAGUCAUGGUGAAUUGCGAUUUGUAUUCAUUCAUAAGUAAUUUCAUUAUUAAUUACCACAUGUAACUUAUAAUUGGUGUAUCUGAAAUAAAUUACAAGGCAGUUUUUGUUUCAUUAACUUCAAGAAAAUGCCUUAACCAAAAUUGGGCUAGAAGGUCAGUAAACGUGUCACCUUGGUCACAUAGUCUAACUUUUAGUCAGUGGAAGAAUAUUAGGUUAAAUCACACAUAGAGAAGGGGUUUUAAAAUCGUGCACAUCAGGGAAUUAAUAUUCCUGCCUGAUGAGUUGUCUUUACAAUGAAUAUGUUCACAAUGUAAUGGUUCAUAGCAAGAACUAUAAAGCCAUGCUGGGUUGAAUU